rnacentral:snRNA from 1 species
GGACAUAUUGGUGAUCUGGCUGUGACAUCUGUCAUCCAUUGAUCGCCAGGGUGGAUUCAGCUGAUCAGACUGUCUAAGCAAGUGCCCCCUUCCUCCCUCACCGCUCCAUUUGCAUCAGUCCCAAAGCUGCAUGCACCAUGGAAAAGGAUAACCCAUCCCUGAGACAGGAAGACCCA